GAUGAAGAACGUAGCGAAAUGCGAUAAGUAAUGUGAAUUGCAGAAUUCAGUGAAUCAUCGAGUCUUUGAACGCACAUUGCGCCCCCUGGUAUUCCGGGGGGCAUGCCUGUCCGAGCGUCAUUGCCGCCCUCAAGCACGGCUUGUGUGUUGGGCCCCCGCCCCCCGGCUUCGGGGGGCGGGCCCGAAAGGCAGCGGCGGCACCGCGUCCGGUCCUCGAGCGUAUGGGGCUUCGUCACCCGCUCUGUAGGCCCGGCCGGCGCCCGCCGGCGACCCCAAUCAAUCUUUCCAGGUUGACCUCGGAUCAGGUAGGGAUACCCGCUGAACUUAAGCAUAUAAUAAGCGGAGGA
rnacentral:misc_RNA from 1 species